rnacentral:lncRNA from 1 species
CAUUGUUCUACCCUAUCCACAAAACUGGAGAAGCAUGAUAAUGAAAACAUGUCUCCAAAAAAAAAAAAGAUUUUCAUUUAUUUGCUCUUUUGAAUGACUCACAUGCACUGCAUAUGUUAGGUACUGUUAAAUUAAACUUUUAACUCUAAUAAAAGAUGAAAUGGGGUAUGGACAUUCCAAUCAAAGUCCCUCUCAUUUAAUAGCAUGUGAUAUAUAUAUACACACACAUGCACGCACGCACGCAAAAAUAAAAUCACACCAUUCAUCGUUCGCCCGCUUUUAAUUUGUGCUACAAAUGAAGUAGGCGACAAGAGCACAGAACACAACAUUCUAAAUCUUUUUUCGUUGUUUUUUUUAUGAUAGCAGAUAAAUCCCAU